rnacentral:rRNA from 1 species
UAACUGAAGAGUUUGAUCAUGGCUCAGAUUGAACGCUGGCGGCAGGCUUAACACAUGCAAGUCGAGCGGGGGAAGGUAGCUUGCUACCGGACCUAGCGGCGGACGGGUGAGUAAUG